CCUGCAACAAGAUUACUAAUCGCAUCUUUAACGUCACAGGUAACUAGGCCUUAAGGUCCAGUCCCAUGUGCCAGAGCCUGGAGAUCUUAGAGAUGCUGCUCAGCUGGGAAGGGGCACCAGGAGAGCAGGGGUGGGGGAGCUCGAGAGCCGCAUUCUCUCCUGGGCAGUCUUCCAGGGGCCACAUGGCAGUGGUGGGUGGGAUCACAGGCAAAACUGGGCAAAACAAUGAAUGUAAAUUUUGCUUUGGUACUGCAGGCUAAUUCUGUCACACACCCCUCUCUGUUCUCCAGCCAGGGAAGGAAGAGGUAUUAAAGACACAUCCCAGCCAGGGGGAAACAGACAUGAAGGCGAGACCGUUCAGGGUGCGGCCUUAGAAGAGAGGGAGCGAGUUCUGUGAGCCAGAGAGAAAGGCAUCUGGUCUGAGGUUCCCUGUUCCUGCAGUGGAAGGUGGGCAGACGAGAAUUGCCCUGUCUAGAAAGGGCACCACCAGCAGCAGUAAAGGUUGGGAGGACAGGAACUGCCCCAGAUAAGAAGCACAGUAGCAUUGGCAGCUGUAGAGGGUGGAAGGAUGUGCCAUCUUCACCCCCCCCAAAAAAAAGAACUUUUGGCACCACAGAUUUGAGCGAUUUAGUUUGCUUGAAACUCAGGGCACAGAAGACUAGCCAAAUGUCACUGUUCUUUUUUAAAACAGUAAUGGCUUGUUAACAGCCUAAAUACAAAGGCAGUCCACCUUUCUUCAGAACGACUCCCAUGCAGAUUGAGCCAAUUAAUUGAUUAAAAUGCAUGUGAUUAAUUGUCUAGAAUGUCCUUAACCAGGCGCCAGCCUUAAUAGUGAGGCAACCUAUGUAGCUGCCCAGCUUGAUUAUCAAAUAUUUGGCUGACUAGAGAGUUGUCUGAAGCCUUGGCUGUGGUUCAUAUAUUACAGCUGGUGCCCAUUGUCUGGUGGGCAGAGUGCAAGGCCACCCUACCAAGCCUGCAGAAGGCACUUAAAGGGACUGUGAGUCCUCCAGUGCCAGCAACACAGAGAGCAGAGCUGGAAUUAUCUGCUUCCUCCCUUAUCUGAACUUAGCAAUGGUCCACCUGACCAUUAGCUUGAGCACACGGACGCUCAAAGUGUGGAGGGAAGCAGGGGAAUCCAUGCAGACCCCCGUGUCCUUGUGGGCACGCCUCACAAGUCCUCUGUGUAGCAUGUUGAAGGUCUGCAUGGGGAUUCCACCUGGCUUAACUGGAAUACAGGUUGGACCCUCUACAAAUAAAAAUAGACAGCUCAUGCAAACCCUUCCCACAGAACAAAUACAGUUGACACCUGAGCUGGGCAGGAGCAAUGCGCAUGAGGCCACUGGGAGCAUGGCUUGCAGAAGGCAUUAUUGGUAGUGGCGCACACCCUGUGGAACACCCACCCAUCAGAUAUCAAGGAGAUGAGCAACUCUAUAACCUUUAGACGACAUCUAAAGGCAACUCUAGAAUCAUAGAAUCAUAGAGUUGGAAGAGACCACAAGGGCCAUCGAGUCCAACCCCCUGCCAAGCAGGAAACACCAUCAGAGCACUUCUGACAUAUGGUUGUCAAGCCUCUGCUUAAAGACCUCCAAAGAAGGAGACUCCACCACACUCCUUGGCAGCAAAUUCCACUGUCAAACAGCUCUUACUGUCAGGAAGUUCUUCCUAAUGUUUAGGUGGAAUCUUCUUUCUUGUAGUUUGGAUCCAUUGCUCCGUGUCCGCUUCUCUGGAGCAGCAGAAAACAACCUUUCUCCCUCCUCUAUGUGACAUCCUUUUAUAUAUUUGAACAUGGCUAUCAUAUCACCCCUUAACCUCCUCUUCUCCAGGCUAAACAUGCCCAGCUCCCUUAGCCGUUCCUCAUAAGGCAUCGUUUCCAGGCCUUUGACCAUUUUGGUUGCCCUCCUCUGGACACGUUCCAGUUUGUCAGUGUCCUUCUUGAACUGUGGUGCCCAGAACUGGACACAGUACUCCAGGUGAGGUCUGACCAGAGCAGAAUACAGUGGCACUAUUACUUCCCUUGAUCUAGAUGCUAUACUCCUGUACAGGGAAGCUUUUGAAUAUUUAAUGUUUUGUUAUGUUUUUACAGUGGACCCUCCAGAUAAGAACUUAAUUUGUUCCGGAGGUCUGUACGUACCAUGAAAAUUCCACAUCUAGAGGUGCCACUUCUGCACAUGCAAGCAACAUGAUAGAGCACUUCUGCACAUGUGUGUAGCAUGCAGAGUGCUUCUGCGAAUGCGUGCAUGAUGAAACCUGGAUGUAUACACUUCCAGGUUUGCCACGGUCGCAGCCUGAAAGUAACGUUACCCGAAGGUAACGUAACCCAUGGGUCCACUGUAUAUAUGUUGGAAGUCUCUCAGAGUGACUGGGGCAACCCAGCCUGAUGGACAGGGUACAAAAUGAUGAUGAUGAUGAUGAUGAUGAUGAUGCACCUCCACCUAUGUCCACUCUUUGAGCACUGGUGUGUUUGAGCAAAUAAUGAAACAUGCAUUAUAUCUGUAUUGUUAUGCGUCCCCCAGUUUCUCAUACAAGUGAGAUGUUCAAGGGGCUAUCCAGUUUGGCUUCCUUUGGAGGAGAGGUCACAUGGCACAUACUCCGCAACUCCCGAUUUUGCUGGGGCGUCCUGAUUUCAAGGCUUUGUUCUGCCUCACAGCACUGCCCUGCCAGUGAGUGAGAGUGGCGGCAGCCAGAGAUUGUGGAAGCCACAUGGGGCCUGCGGCUCACUUGCUGUCUACGUGGUGGACUGGACUCUCCAAUGUAGGUGCUUCAGAUCCGAUCCGCAUGGAUCCUGCCUCUCUGCCUCUUGCAACAUGGCAGCCGACUCCAAGAUUGGCCAUGAAGUCCAAUGAUGUCAUUUGCCAGGGAGCCACUGGGAGCCGGAGGCAGAGAGACGAGAGGUGGGGGCAUGGGCCUUAAAGAGCCACAGUGCAGGUUGGAGCCAGUGGUGGUGGUGGGUGAGUCUUGAGCAGCUAGCAGGAUUGAGGAGAGGUUGGAGGGGGAUGGAGGGAGGGUUGCUGCCCAGCCUAAGGUCCUACCUGGUAAUAUGGUGGGAUUAGCUUCUCUGAGCAUGUACAGAGUGCACACGUGUGUAUUUCCACCACCACACUUUCCCCCCAGCCAGAAACACCUUGUGUUCCUCAGAUGAAAAUUGCUUUAGGCAAAAACUAUAGUGAUCUAGUGUGUGUGAUGUUACAAUAGCCUCCCCCAAAAAAACAACCUCCCCACUAUCUCCAUGCUGGUUUAUUUUUUGUUUGGGAAAGAAACCAUAAAUAUUCUUAUGCAGUCAGAGGAGUGUGAUUAUUCCCUUUUUACUUAUAUUGGCCAAGCUCUUCCUGUGGAAAAAAGGCGGGGGGUGGAAUGCCUGAGGUACACGUAAAUAUGUCUUCUCCAGUACAGUCUCUUGCUCUCCCCACUUCCCCAAGUCUUUGCUAAGGCAUUCUGAGCAGUCCUUUCAUUCAAAUCACAAAUUUAAUGCAAAAGAAAGGUCACUCCUACUUGCAUUCUGGGGCAGUUUUUCCUUCACAUUUCCGCUCACAAUGACCUCACCUUUUGAAUCACUAGAGAUGCGCUUGGAUUGACUUUGAACUUCUCAUUCUUUUCCAUUUUCUUUUUUAGGGAGGACUGACA